rnacentral:lncRNA from 1 species
GGGCUCCCCGCGCGGUGACCGUCGAGGUGACCUGCACCUGGCUCCAUGGCGGAACCGGCCGGCACGGAUUAUUCCCCUCUCGGGAGAGGUCUGCAGCCGGGCCUCAGUGCUUCAGUUCGUGGCCUGGCAUUUUGUGAAGAGUGUCUUCAUCUCUGCAUCCCUAGUGCAACAGAGCAUGACAAAAAUUCAACAAAUAUUUAUUGAAGAGUCUUGAUGUCUUUUGGGAAAGGAACUCUAUGGUUACCUUUACUCUAAGGCAUUGUGAAGACCCUGUUUCUCUAGCUGUGCAGCUGCAAGGUCACUAGGCAGAUAAACUCAAGCCAUAAAACAUGUUUUUCCUUGAAAAGUAAGAAAUAAUGUAAUGCAUGUGUCAAAUGAAUAACUAUUUCUCGCUUCUGUAAUAUGCUUCCCUUCGCACAGAUCUCCCCCUGCCCCAUGAAAUGCUUUAAAGGUAACUUAACUCUUUGUUCGGGGCUCAGUCCUUUGGAUGUUAAUCUGACUGGCUUGGUGCACCUAAAUAAUAAAUAACAUAUAUCCUCCUCAA